GACGAACCGUGCGAACGUUAUUCGGAAUCACUGGGCUUAAAGCGCGUGUAGGCGGCCCGGCACGUCGGACGCUGAAAUCCCCCGGCUCAACCGGGGAACGGGCGCCGAUACGACCGGGCUGGAGGGGGGUAGGGGGCGCCGGAACUUCCGGUGGAGCGGUGAAAUGCGUUGAGAUCGGAAGGAACGCCCGUGGCGAAAGCGGGCGCCUGGACCCCACCUGACGCUGAGACGCGAAAGCCAGGGGAGCAAACGGG
rnacentral:rRNA from 1 species